GAUUGGGGGUAAAAUUUUGCGAAGUCUAAAAAUUGGGAAAAUUUUUGCCUCACUCUCGUCUCUUUGGUCACUCAGCGUCUCUUGCUCACAGGUAAAGAGAGAGACAAACAAUUUUCUAACUCUCAUUCGACUCUCACUAAAUCUCCCUAUUCUUCUCACUCUCCCUAGUCCUUAGUCGCAAUAUUCUUGUAGUAAUUCUCUUCUCUCUCAAGAAGUCCGGUUUGUGUCGUCCUUCUUACAGAUCCAAUUCCACCAUCUCUCUCUCCGAACUACUUUUUUUUUUUUCCAUAUCUCAUCACCAUUCAGUCUCUAUCGCCGAACCAAUUGAAGAAGAUACCGCAAGAGACGAUUCGCUAGGGAUCUCCUUCGUCAUGCCAUCUUCAUCUGCGUAACUCCAUCACCGUCCUUGGUCCGUCGCUGUUUCCACAUCUUAGUCGGUGAGUUUGUUCCUAAUUCUUAGGGUUCACCGAUUUGAGUUAUGAUUUUUUUAAUCCUUCGUGUUGGGGUUUUUCCUAAUUUAAUUUAAGGAUGGUUUUGGGAAAUCCUUUUCGGCGAGGCUUUUCGAUGGUGGAAGGGAGGAACGGUAUGGUGAGAAUUGAACAUCAGAUCGUGAAGACGGUUGCAUAUAUAGUUGAGGUAAAGUCAUUCGAGAGAUUGAGGUUUCUAAGUACGUUUACAGUAUUGCUCCUGAAUACAAACCAAUGUUUGAUGCAUUGAUUUCAAUGUUAGCAAAGAAGGAACUAGGUGUCAAUUAUUGGAUUGGUUUUCAGAGGAAGAGGUUGUGGACUGGUGGGAGAAGAGACUAGGUGUCAGAUACGGCAGCUUGGCCUAAUGAUAAAAUUCUUUUUAUCCGAUUUGAACUUGUGGUGUUCUUCUCUCUUGUAUGUGUUAGUGUAGAUUUGCUUUUAGCCUCUCGUAUAUUCAGCUCUUUAAUUUCUGAUGUGUUCAUAAGGUUUCUGGGGCAUUAGGUGGUUUAAAGGAGUUGUUUGACCGUAUC